AUUGAACGCUGGCGGCAUGCUUUACACAUGCAAGUCGAACGGUAACAGGCCGCAAGGUGCUGACGAGUGGCGAACGGGUGAGUAAUGCAUCGGAACGUGCCCAGUCGUGGGGGAUAACGCAGCGAAAGCUGCGCUAAUACCGCAUACGAUCUAUGGAUGAAAGCGGGGGACCGUAAGGCCUCGCGCGAUUGGAGCGGCCGAUGUCAGAUUAGGUAGUUGGUGGGGUAAAGGCUCACCAAGCCAACGAUCUGUAGCUGGUCUGAGAGGACGACCAGCCACACCGGGACUGAGACACGGCCCAGACUCCUACGGGAGGCAGCAGUGGGGAAUUUUGGACAAUGGGCGCAAGCCUGAUCCAGCCAUUCCGCGUGCAGGAUGAAGGCCCUCGGGUUGUAAACUGCUUUUGUACGGAACGAAACGGCGACCGCUAAUACCGGUUGCUAAUGACGGUACCGUAAGAAUAAGCACCGGCUAACUACGUGCCAGCAGCCGCGGUAACAC
rnacentral:rRNA from 1 species